rnacentral:rRNA from 1 species
GACGUGAGGGGCCAGCGUUGUUCGGAAUUACUGGGUGUAAAGGGUCGUAGGCGGUGUGGCAAGUCGGGGGUGAAAUCCUGGAGCCUCAACUCCAGAACUGCCUUCGAUACUGGCGAUCUCGAGUUCGGGAGAGGUGAGUGGAACUGCGAGUGUAGAGGUGAAAUUCGAUAGAUAUCGCAAGAACACCAGUGGCGGAAGGCGGCUCACUGGCCCGAUACUGACGCUGAGGUGCGAAAGCG